CAGAUGGGCCGGAUGUCGUCCGUUUUUUUUUAACUCUUAUGAUAAAAGUUAAUUAUUUUACGUUUUGAAUAACUACACCAAAAAACAACAACAACAACAACAACAACAACAACGAGGAAAGGGUUAAACUAGGUUUACUGAAAUCACAACGAUUACAGUUACAAUACACCGAAGUGGUGUAUUGCUUCCAUGAGCACUAUUCCCAAAACCUCCUCUUCACUGACUCUCAGACACAUCAGAGCAGUCGACAGACUACAAUGUCGGAGGAAAAGCAUGCCAACAACUGUGUAAAAAAAAAGCGCCCCGCCCCCUACAUCAUAGAAAUGGAAACACAGGUCCGAGAGGGACCAAUGUAGAGGGGUAUGUAGGACUUAGUACUGAUUUGUGUACUGCAUGUCUAUGUGCGUUAUGUCAGUGUAGUGUGGAUGUACCGCCAGUUCAAAGAUACGUGUAUACUUUGAGAAGUAAUCUGUAUCAUGUAGUAUAAUCAUGUAAACAAAGUAGGGGAGUUUGAACUGUAAACUGUGAUUUAAGAGAAAAACGAUUGUGAUUAUUUUCGUGAAUUUUAUAUUUGGCCAGGUAUUCCUCAAGGUCAAUCUAGUUCAGGUGGUCAAUGCUCAUUGUUCGAACUUGUAUUAUAAUGGAAAAUUCCUAUUUUUUUUCCAAAGCUCCAAUAGUCAUUCAAACAGUUAUUUAUUGAUGCAUUAUGUUGAAUGUGAAUGGUUAAUUUAAAUAAUCGCCAUGUGUUUUUAUCAAAUUUAGAGUGUUUAUUGUGUGUAUAUUGGUAAAGUGUAUACUGUCGAUGAUUGUUUAUAUUCUUAAUAAAAAAGCAAGAGAGGGACAGGAAGGAACACGAGAGGUUCAUCUGAGGACAAAUGUCCUCAGAUUAACCUCAUUUUCACUUGCGAGGAUGGUCGGUUCAGUGAAAGAAAGGACAUUGGCCUACAGAAUACGAAAAUACACAAAGCAGUAUGGUAUAAGAAGUUGUAUCCAGCAGAGAGCACCUUUUUUAUUUUAAAUCUUAACAAAGAAAAAGGGCCUAAAUUAAUCGCGCCACGCCCCACCCUGGAAUUAUGAGUUGGUAUUGAUUUCUAGCAAACAUAAUUUGGUAAGCAUAUCUAUAAUUCAUGCUUUUCUUCAUACUCCAAAAAGUGACCAGCUUUUCUCUCAUAUGAGGACGAUAUAAGUGUGAUAGUAUCACUUUAAAAAGCCUAACCUUAGGCAAACAGUUUUAAGUCCUCUGAGAACCACUAACCCUAAAGUAGGCCACGGUAAUGCUGAAGCCGGACUCACUAAUGGACAGUUCAGCCGGCAGAUGUUGCGUGGGUCACCGCGGGUUUGAGGAACGGCUUCUGUUUCCUGGAACUCAAACAUCUGCAGAAUAGACUAGGCCUAAGGGAUCUGCACGGCUGUCCGCCCGACACAGCAGUCCCAACUAUUAUCUCACGAUCGCAGUAAAAAACAAAAGGGGAAAUAUUUCAGCCCUGCCUCAGCUGUAGGCCUAUACGUUAUUAAAGAAUACAACUUGGAUUUGGCUGUUUAUGAAGUAUACACAUUUCUGUUCUGUUUUAAUCCUUAACAAAUUGUGUUGGCCUUUGUUUGGUGCGCCCCAGUAGCUAGAUGAAAUGUAUAAUCUUCGUAUCUCUUUUCUUUCGUUCAGAGAGAUCUGGAGUCUAGACAGAUCGGGACCCAUUCUCUGUUGCCGAGAUCGGAGCCGGUUGAGUCACUCAUGGAAAGAAAUAUAAACUUGCACGGUGAAUGAUGAUGUGUAGUAGGGUUCAGUGUGUCACCACAUGUCGGCCACAUGUGUUCGGUAACACAUGGUUCUGUUCCGGCUGUAAAACAAGAGGAGGAGCUACAAGCCUGGGAACGCAGAUGAAUGUCAAGUCUUCAUCAAUAACUAAUUUAUUUAAGGGCUUAUUUUAUUUGGAAGUAAUUAAGCACAGGGAUAAUUCUAAAAUUGUUGCAUGUACGUCACGCCCGCACACAUGUACUAGAUCUCGACACAAACAUUCCAUACACACAUGCCGAACAUGCAGCCUUAACACACACACACACACACACACACACACACACACACACACACACACACACACACACACACACACACACACACACACACACACACACACACACACACACACACACACACACACGUGUGUGUUUGCGCUCCAAGCUAAGCAUGACCCACAGGAAACCCACUCAGAGGUCCGCAAGCCCAAGUAUUAUUUCCUUUGGACGUGUGUGAUGUUGACAUCACAUGAACACCAUUAACAUGUCAUACAGUAGGCCUAUAUCCCAGAACCUCAUGGUUAUUACUCUUUGCGCUCGGGACAACUGCUGACGGACGGAGAAAGGGCAUGAUUUUAUUUAUUUUUAUGGCUUGGGGUGCUUUUGCCUACGAUUCAACAUCGCCUUUGUGAUGUUGAUGUAGGGGUCAAAUUAAUCCACGUUGAAAUCUGGGACUACAAAAUUGCCGUUUUUUAAUCAGAAUUGCAUAUUGAUAUUCUGUGCGAGGUCAUACACACAUAGAUAUUUCAGUGACAGUAUUUUACAGAUGAAUAGGACAUGUGCAUGGAAGAGAGAAAUCAUCAGCUGUAUCAAAUAAAAGAAACUUAUGAAUUACGUGAAAA